GUAUUAUUUUACCUGUUUUAUUGAUAGGACAAUUUUUUUUCAGGGUUUCUAUUACUCUCUAAGGACAGCCAUAUAUCUUUGAGAAUAUUGAUUUUAUCCCCUUAUUUGAGCCAUAUACAGAGACUGACUUCUUUGUUAUGUUUGUUUUGACGGAUUUUGGCUGUUACUGUUGUGCGUGUUGUAGUCUGGAUGGAGACUGGCGGCCAUGGACGUUGACAACCGCUUUAAUAGAAUCAUGAUCGCCGAUGCCAACUACCAGGACUCCUUGCCCCUGUGCCCCCUUCUCUACUGCGACACCACAAAGUGAUCUCCGGAACCCUCUCCACUGCACGACAGAGAAGGUAAUACUAUUCAAGUACAAAUGUAGAUUUGCUGGUAAAUAGUGGAUGUGAUUGUGAACUAUAGUGUCACAUAUCUAUUACGUGUAUAUGUGCAUAUCCACAUAUUAAGGAGCUGCUUAUAAGUCAUGGUAUGCAAGUUUUUUCUGUAAUUUGAAUGCAUGGAUGCUAUUUAAAAUCUCAAUUUGAUGUGACAAAAUAUCACCGCC